UUAAGUUCAGCGGGUAUUCCUACCUGAUCCGAGGUCAACUCUUGAGAUGGGGCGUUUUACGGCGUGACCGUCUCCGCGCUCCGGUGCGAGGUGUGUGCUACUACGCAGGGGAGGCCGCGGCGAGGUCGCCACUGCAUUUCGGGGGCGGCCGGGCCGGCCCCCAACACCAGGCCCCCGGGGGGGCCUGAGGGUUGAAAUGA
rnacentral:misc_RNA from 1 species